AAGUUUGCUGAAGGUGGGCGGUUCCUGGCACGCACAGUGCACGCCGAGAGCACGUCCCUGCUUGUUGGAGCGCAGUGACCCCAAGUCAUACUCAAAGGUCUAACUCGAGGCUGAGGAAUGUGUCAGGCCAGGCUUCCGCAGGCACUGAAAUCCUUUGGGCACCAAGCCAAACUGGUGACUGGAAAUUUACAAUCUUACAAGCGAGCCUACUCCUUCUUGGACAGCACCGUCUAUUGAUUUCUUACAGUGUGAACCAAAGCUUUCACGUGUGCCAGGCGUUGUGUUGUGCUUUAUGGCUUAUUUCUCACAAGAACCCGCUCAGAAAUGGCAGAAAAAGUGAAAGUUUUCUCUGGGACUUCCAGGCUUCUUCAAGGAGAUAAAACUCAAAAAGCCUCUGACUGAAAUAAGAAUUGCCAGACCCUUACCAUCCCACCUGUCUCACUAUGACUGUUACAAUGUCCUAAGGACCUCCCCACCCCAGCAGCUUGGCCUUCUCCUUCCUGCCCUCCUCUAGAAAAGCUCCCAGCCACACUCACUGAGGAUGGGAUGCCCUGCAAGGUUUUGGUGAGACAGUAAGUACUGGCCUUUAAAUCCUGCCUUGGAUGCUCCACUUGUGACUCAGCGGGUUAAGGACCUGACUAGGAUCCAUGAAGAUACGGGUUCGAUCCCUGGCCUUGCUCAGUGGAGUAAAGGAUCUGGCAUUGCUGUGGCUGUGGCAUAGGCCAGCAACUGUAGCUCUGAUUCGACCCCUAGCCUGGGAACCUCCAUAUGCCACUGACAUAAGGAUGACACUGGGCAGAUGAGACUGAAGGCAGUUUGUUAGUCACUUACACUCACAGCCUUAGGGAGGAGGAUACCACCCCCCCACCCCCUACCCCCUACCCCUAAGGCUACACUGAAAGUGCACUUGGGGCCAGAGGAUUCAUAGUAUCAAGAGGGUGAGGUAUCCCUUAGUUGCUACAGGAAGAUAUGAUUGGGCUGUAGGAAUAAUUCCGUUAGCUGGCAGAAACUGAAGCCCACUUCUCAGGGAUGGGCAGGAACUAUGUCCCGUCCCUUCAACAAGAAGUGUUGUAUGGCUAGGGGGCCUUAUGGGUACAGAAUAAUGGGAAGGGGGACUUGUGGUCAGCCCGUUUUAGGCCCUCAUUUUUUUUUUUUCUUCUGUCCU